UACAGAGGUGGCAAGCGUUGUUCGGAAUUACUGGGCGUAAAGGGCGAGUAGGUGGCCAUCUAAGUCAGACGUGAAAUCCCCCGGCUUAACCUGGGAACUGCGUCUGAUACUGGACGGCUAGAGUAUGGGAGAGGGAUGUAGAAUUCCAGGUGUAGCGGUGAAAUGCGUAGAUAUCUGGAGGAACACCGGUGGCGAAGGCGGCAUCCUGGACCAAUAUUGACGCUGAGGAGCGAAAGCCAGGGGAGCAAACGGG
rnacentral:rRNA from 1 species